GACGAACGCUGGCGGCGUGCCUAAUACAUGCAAGUAGAACGCACAGUUUAUACCGUAGCUUGCUACACCAUAGACUGUGAGUUGCGAACGGGUGAGUAACGCGUAGGUAACCUGCCUGGUAGCGGGGGAUAACUAUUGGAAACGAUAGCUAAUACCGCAUAAUAUUAAUUAUUGCAUGAUAAUUAAUUGAAAGGUGCAAUUGCACCACUACCAGAUGGACCUGCGUUGUAUUAGCUAGUAGGUGAGGUAACGGCUCACCUAGGCGACGAUACAUAGCCGACCUGAGAGGGUGAUCGGCCACACUGGGACUGAGACACGGCCCAGACUCCUACGGGAGGCAGCAGUAGGGAAUCCUCGGCAAUGGACGAAAGUCUGACCGAGCAACGCCGCGGGAGUGAAGAAGGUUUUCGGAUCGUAAAGCUCUGUUGUAAGAGAAGAACGGGUGUGAGAGUGGAAAGUUCACACUGUGACGGUAUCUUACCAGAAAGGGACGGCUAACUACGUG
rnacentral:rRNA from 1 species